rnacentral:ncRNA from 20 species
GCAGAAGGUUCGGGUCAAGGUUCCCGUCGCCAGAUCCUCGGAUGUGGUGGCCGGGCUAAGAGGGAAUCCGGUGAGAAACCGGAGCUGACCCGCAACUGUAUGCAGCGAGGGCUCGCAUCACCCGUCACUGGCCCCAUGGCCGGGAAGACCGAUGCGAAGGCCUGACGACCUGCAAGCCAGGAGACCUGCCUGACGACAGAGGCUGUUC